rnacentral:rRNA from 1 species
CCUACGGGUGGCAGCAGUGGGGAAUAUUGGGCAAUGGGCGCAAGCCUGACCCAGCAACGCCGCGUGAAGGAAGAAGGCCCUCGGGUUGUAAACUUCUUUUGUCAGGGACGAAUCAAGUGACGGUACCUGACGAAUAAGCCACGGCUAACUACGUGCCAGCAGCCGCGGUAAUACGUAGGUGGCAAGCGUGAUCCGGCUUUACUGGGUGUAAAGGGCGGGUAGGCGGGGAAGCAAGGCAGAUGUGAAAUUCCAGGGCUCAACACUGGAACUGCAUUUGAAACUGUUUGUCUUGAGUGAAGGAGAGGCAGGCGGAAUUCCGUGUGUAGCGGUGAAAUGCGUAGAUAUACGGAGGAACACCAGUGGCGAAGGCGGCCUGCUGGACAUUAACUGACGCUGAGGCGCGAAAGCGUGGGGAGCAAACAGGAUUAGAUACCCCAGUAGUC